rnacentral:rRNA from 1 species
GACGAACGCUGGCGGCGUGCUUAACACAUGCAAGUCGAACGAAGUGGCGAACGGGUGAGUAACGCGUAAUCAACCUGCCCUUCAGAGGGGGACAACAGUGGGAAACGACUGCUAAUACCGCAUACUGAAGGAGGGGAUUGCGUCUGAUUAGCUAGUUGGGGGGGUAACGGCCCACCAAGGCGAUGUACCGUAGCCGGUCUGGGAGGGUGAACGGCCACAUUGGGACUGGGACACGGCCCAGACUCCUACGGGGGGCAGCAGUGGGGGAUUUUCGGCAAAUGGCGGAAGUCUGACUGAGCAACGCCGGGUGGGUGAUGACGGCCUUCGGGUUGUAAAGCUCUGUUAAUCGGGACGCGGUACCGGAAGAGAAAGCCACGGCUAACUACGUGCCAGCAGCCGCGGUAAUAC